AUUGAACGCUGGCGGCAGGCCUAACACAUGCAAGUCGAGCGGAUGAAGGGAGCUUGCUCCUGGAUUCAGCGGCGGACGGGUGAGUAAUGCCUAGGAAUCUGCCUGGUAGUGGGGGAUAACGUCCGGAAACGGGCGCUAAUACCGCAUACGUCCUGAGGGAGAAAGUGGGGGAUCUUCGGACCUCACGCUAUCAGAUGAGCCUAGGUCGGAUUAGGUAGUUGGUGGGGUAAAGGCCUACCAAGGCGACGAUCCGUAACUGGUCUGAGAGGAUGAUCAGUCACACUGGAACUGAGACACGGUCCAGACUCCUACGGGAGGCAGCAGUGGGGAAUAUUGGACAAUGGGCGAAAGCCUGAUCCAGCCAUGCCGCGUGUGUGAAGAAGGUCUUCGGAUUGUAAAGCACUUUAAGUUGGGAGGAAGGGCAGUAAGUUAAUACCUUGCUGUUUUGACGUUACCAACAGAAUAAGCACCGGCUAACUUCGUG
rnacentral:rRNA from 1 species